rnacentral:rRNA from 1 species
UGUCUGGUCUGUACUGACGCUGAGCUCGAAAGUAUGGGUAGCAAACAGGAUUAGAUACCUGGUAGUCCAUACCGUAAACGAUGAAUGCUAAGUGUUGGAGGUUUCCCCUUCAGUGCUGCAGCUAACGCAUUAAGCAUUCCGCUGGGGAGUACGGCCGCAAGGCUGAAACUCAAAGGAAUUGACGGGGGCCCGCACAAGCGGUGGAGCAUGUGGUUUAAUUCGAAGCUACGCGAAGAACCUUACCAGGUCUUGACAUACUAUGCAAAUCUAAGAGAUUAGACGUUCCCUUCGGGGACAUGGAUACAGGUGGUGCAUGGUUGUCGUCAGCUCGUGUCGUGAGAUGUUGGGUUAAGUCCCGCAACGAGCGCAACCCUUAUUAUCAGUUGCCAGCAUUAAGUUGGGCACUCUGGUGAGACUGCCGGUGACAAACCGGAGGAAGGUGGGGAUGACGUCAAAUCAUCAUGCCCCUUAUGACCUGGGCUACACACGUGCUACAAUGGAUGGUACAACGAGUUGCGAACUCGCGAGAGUAAGCUAAUCUCUUAAAGCCAUUCUCAGUUCGGAUUGUAGGCUGCAACUCGCCUACAUGAAGUCGGAAUCGCUAGUAAUCGCGGAUCAGCAUGCCGCGGUGAAUACGUUCCCGGGCCUUGUACACACCGCCCGUCACACCAUGAGAGUUUGUAACACCCAAAGUCGGUGGGGUAACCUUUAGGAACCAGCCGCCUAAGGUAGGACAGAUGAUUAGGGUGAAGUCGUAACAAGGUAACCA